UGUCACACUCGGUUUUAGAAGGUAAACCAAAUGUGAACCAUGUACGUGCCAGGAUCAGAAAUUCACGUACACAGCGAUUACAUAAAUGACUCAUCAUAGCACAAUGCUUCAAAUUACAAUAAAGAGUAAGUAAUAAUAUUACAGACUAGAGUCAUUUACAUAAUAUAAAUCAAAGUACGCAGAAUCGAAACGUAGCCAACGUAAACAACCCACCACAGGCAGCUGACUGGGGGAGGUCGCUAGCCUAAUCCUCGAACUCAUCAACGUCCUGGAACUCCUGGAGAUCCACCUCGACGCCUUCUUCUUUACCUGAGCAUAGAUUGCACCAAAGGCAACCUGGUGUUUUGUGAAAGCAAGGGUGAGUACACAUCAACGUACUCAGCAAAUGUCCCGUUUGGCUGAGGUGGACUAGCUUUAUGUGGGGUUAAGCUCAAGCAGUUGCUUUUGGUUGGUCAGGUAUUUAUUGUUAGUAGAAGCCAGAUUUUAUCAUAAAACCCAAGUUAUAAUCCCAAAAAGUACCUCCUCAGAGAGGAAAUACUAGAAUACAUAAUUAAGGUCACCAUCAUUAACCAUCAUCAUUAAAGUCAUCAUCUGAGGUGUAUCCGGAGUAUCUCUAAUCAAAGAGGAUCCCAAGGCUGCUCUUAACCGUGAGCACGGCUGAUAUAUCAGUUUCAUUACCCUCUGCAGAGGUCGCACACUUUACCCAUGAGCCGUGAUACCCGUUUUGCCCGGGGAUCAUGACUCCCCAUUGAUCACUUCCUAGGUGGUCCGGCAGGGUAUCACUACGUAGCUUUUACAAAGAUUCCCUAGAGGUACUAGCCGCCCGUUAGGUUUCUCCAGUUUGAUAAACACAGUACCUCUCCCCGAAGGGGGGUGACUAACAAAAGCAAAACGAAAGAACCUCGGCACCCAGCCUCGGCAGAGCAAGCACUGUGCCUGGACCCCAUUGACGACACGACGGCGAAGCAACUACACCUCUAGUUCCUCUAAUUAAUUAGCUAAGGGCACCCCAUUUCACCCUCAUGGUUGCACUGUUAUCCCGGGUGGUCUCUCAACGAACAGGUCCUUACGGAGAGGUACUCGGGAAACAGCCCGAGUCCCCUAAAUGCCACAAGUAUAUCAUCAUAUCCAGAAUAAAAUCAUAGUAUCAUCAUUGUAUCUCAUCAUGUUCAUUGAUUAAAGUAAAGCGCUAGCAUGUAGCUAACCAUAGUAACCCAAAAGGUAAAUCAAGGACAAGGUAAAUAGAAAGCUAGUAAAUCCUUAGGUUGUUCAUAGUAUGCGGGACAUUGUAUUAUAAAGUAAAUGGGACAUAAUGGGUCAGAGGACACUUGCCUUCACCAAAUAUAUGCUCAGGGUCUUCAAUCUUGUAGGACUUGAAGAGCUUGCUCACUUGGUCACCAAUGUUUGACCGUCGAUUCCUCAAAGCUCGGAAACGAAUCGCGAUCUAUUCGCGACGCAUAGCGAAUACAAACAAGAACAAACAAACAAACAUAUAUAUACGCAUAAGAACAUUACACCAUACAAGAUAAAAUGUUAUAAAAACAUGCAACAUAAAAUAGAGCUCGACACUACGGUCACGCGAGAAGAAGAAACGUCGAACUCGAAGCUACGGUUGAGAGAUUAGCGCGUUAUCACUAAACAAGUAUUAACUAUAACUUUUAGUUCGACCUUAUCAAAUAUAAAUAUUAUAUACCGUUUAGUUCGAUUAAUCUGCUACACUAACAAAUGUCAGUUAAUUAAGUAAUUUUAAUUAAAACGGGAGAUUCUAAGCGAGUCGAAUUUACGACGCGUGAAACAGUACGACCGCACACGAUCUAGCGCGCACCACGCGCUGCACGCACAGACAACGUGACGUCGGCGAACCCAACACGACAGCGUGCAAACGAUACGCGGACGCGCGCGACAUAGCACGCUGACAACACACGAAACAUCGCGCGCGACCGGCGCAAAUGACGCGCGAAUCAGCAUGCCACCACGAGCACAUCACGCGCGAAUAGCGCGCAGACAGUGCGACGACGCGCGAUGAUCGCUAACAAAUAACGCGAUUACACUAAACAAGUAUUGUUAGAACAUUAGUUCGACAUAAUUAUAUUGAUUGACAUUUAUCAAAUGUAAAUUAACAACUACAAUUCAGUUUUCACUAAAUUACUGUUUUAAUGGUGGACGAUUAAACUAAUAAUUAAUUAACUGACCAGAGCGAUUAUAAGUGAACGAUUAUAAUGAAACAAUUAACUAAUAUGCGCGGAUGGCGUGCGAUACAUCAUACAUGCGAACGACACACAGCAUUGUGCGCGACACGCGAAAACAGCGUGCGCGACACACGCAAAUGAUGCGUGACAACGCGCGACAAAUGCGACUUAGCGCCCAGACGACGCGUGUGAAAAAGCACACGCAACAUCGCACGAACUACACGCAAAACAGUGUGACGCGCGGAAGGCACAUGAUUCAGCGCGCGGCAACACCCGAGAAUCGCUAUCAGAUAUCGUGUUUUAUACUAAAUAAGCAUUAAUUCAAAAACAUUUGUGUAGAUAUAAUCCUAUUAACAGAUAUAAAUAAAGCGUGUCUAAAACUAUAAAUUAGUUUAAGUAAGCUACUACUUUAGUAACUCAGAUAAAUAAAUAAUCAACUAAUUAAUUAGAACACGCCUCGCGACGAAAUAAUGUUACUAACAGGUUGGCGACGAGGUUUACAAAGUUAAAGCGACUGAAACGAACAGAAACGGGUUUAUGGCGCAUUAUAUAUGAAAUAGCUAACAAUUCAUAUCUAAUAAACAAUUUUAUUAAAGCGCGUGAAUCGCGACUCGCGCGAACGACGGCUCGUGGACAGCACGCACGAACGUCGUGUGGACACACGCGACACGCGAGCAUUACAGAAAUCGCGUCUAUACUAAGUGAGUACUUAUUCAGAAACAUUUGAAUUGAUAUAAUAAUAUUAACAUGUAUUUUAAAAUCGCAAAGUAAGAGUAUAGAUUAAUUUUAAUUGCAACUCUACUUUAAUAAUCAUCAAAUAGACAAGAGAUUAAAUAACUAAUUAGAAUAUGUGAUAUGACAAAAUAAUAUUUUAAUACGCAGACGACGUUGUUAUGGAAUUAGCGUAACUAGAAUGGUCCAAAACGUAUUUAUAACGCAUCAUAUACUGAAUAAAUAACAUUUCGCGGAUUAUAGGUGACAUGGCACGAUCUGGUUGGUCGAACUGAAGCCACACGAAGGGCCACAUGGGACACAACCACAUAAGAUGAAAGGGAGUGGGAUCUAGUGUGGCUGCUCCCUUAUCCUAGCUCCACGGAUGGACAAACCGCACAACCGGUUUCUUCUCCACGGGCGAUUCUUCUUCCUUGUUCCUUCAACCACCCACCAGGAAAACACAUCGAGAGGAGGGGGAAAUAGUGAGGUGGCCGCCGACUAAUAGGGAAGGGGCACUCGUGGGUGGGUCUUCGGCUGGACGCCAUGGCCAUAGCCCGGUGGAGCGCGCGCAGCAAGCAGGGGAGGGGAGAGAUGGGCUCGCUCUGUAUGCAACAGCAGGGAGGCACGACUGCAGGGGCUCGUUCGGCAAGGGAAGGGCUGGGCAGGGAGCGCCAUGGUUAGCCGAGAGUGGAGCUCGCUGGGGCGCUGGCCGCCGGGACUGGCUGGGUCGGCCAGGGGGUCGCUCGACCAACGGGGAUGGAGAGAGGGACGGGAAAAAAGGUAGACUGGGGUUCUCACCUCGGCACGGAACGACAGCGACCAACCAAGCUCUAUCGCUCGUCAUCCCCAGCCGACUGAGGUGUACCAGGGGCUCUCGCGUGAGGGGGACCAUGGCAGCAACAACAGAUCGGCUGCGACCGCGCCUUGCCGCAUCGACGGGAGGGAAUGGGGAAUCUAGCGUUGCACGCAGGGGAAGCACACGACAUGGGAAGGCAGUGGGAAUUUCGGGCGUCCAUUCUCACAUGUGGACGACCAACAGUACAACGGGCGUGCAAAGGCCUACGCUAGGAGGAGGUCGCGCCUGGAGAGGGGCUUUCACGUUUGGGCGACUCGACAUUAGGAAGAAAGGCAACUCAACAGUAGGAAGAAAGGAGAAGGGAGAGAACUCACAUGUGUGUGAGGAUCGGCGACAGUUCCUUGGGCACGACGGCGAGAUCGACAUGCACUCCGGCGCAUAGGCUGUGCACAGCGGUGGGGGUGGGGCAAUGCAGGUGUAUGGGAGGUGAUGUGGUGUGACUUGUGAGGGAGCAGGGCAUUUAAGAGAGUGGUUUGAAAGAGAACUAGCAAGCGGUUGUCGAGCUCCUUACGAUGUGGCUGAUCUAAGCGGGACUGGAGGUUACAGGGAGGAAGAUGGUGGGUGGGCUUCGUCGGGCAGUCCUAAGCGUGGGACAAGAAGCUUGGGAGGUUUGGCUGAUGGGUCAGGCGCGCAUGAAAUGGUCUUGCGGGUGAAUAUAGGCGAGGUAUUCGGGCACAGAGGAGGCAGGGUGGUUACGGCUGCGUCCGAGUGAGACUAGCACGUGUAAAAAGGACAACAGUUUGAGGAGAUGAAGUCGACACGCGAGCUCCGAAUGACAACGAGAAGAACAAGUGAGGGGAAAACGGUUGCACGCACAGCACGUGAGGCACUAAACGACGAGACGAGGCAAUGUGGUAGGCGGGGGUAGACGAGGUAGACCCCAGCAGCACGACGUUCGUGAGGAGAAGAUCGGUUUGACGAUCUCGCAAAAAAGGGCGAGACCCAGAACAGGAUUGACGAGAGGAAUACUUAUAUAAUAUUCGGUUCUCGAAAUAAUUUUGGUUUUCGCAACUACUAAUUUUUUUAGGAUUAAAUUAAUAUAUAUGUUUAUAUAUAAAAAACUAAAGUUCACAUUUAAUAUUUGAAAAACAUUUCGAAGGUUCUAGACAUAACUAGAAACACCCUCAAGAUGAUUUGACAUGUUUCAAAAACUUUUUGCAGUCAUAAACACUAUGCAAUGACAUGAAUGUACCAAUCAAAGCCUCUCUAGGGUUUUAUUUUACUUAGCUUAACACUUGUAUAUAAAACAAAAUGACUCUCUAUUAUUUAGAAAAAGAAAAGAAAAGCAAGGAAAAGAGAGGGUAACACCUGAAUUUGGUGGAUAUUAGAAAAUAAAUUUUAUACCCCCAAAUUCAGGGUGUUACAGAUCUAACCCUCUUAAUAGGAAUCUCGCCCCCGAGAUUCAAGAAGGAGCUAGCAAGAAAACGAGGUUGGUUCAUCGGUUGUUUAGAGUUGCUUCCAUUCAACUUUGACUCUAUCAGCUUAACUUGUGGAUUGGUUGCUUUGACCUUCAUAUGCUCGAGACCAAUUGAUACAAUUCUUGAGGAUCCCUUGGACUUGUGGGUUAGGACCCACACAUGCUUUCGUUGUGCCACUUUGAUCUUGUUGGUUGAUGUUGAUCGCAUUGUCUUCAUUGGGGUUAGUGGCUAACCCCCUUAACAGGAGUGUUGAUACACAAUUGAUGAAGAUGCUGCCGACUCUGAUCUUCAUUGAUUAAGAGAAGCUGGAGGAUGCCAACCGGACAGGUGCAAGAGGAAAGGGUAUGGAUAGAAAAGGUACGCAUAGAUGAGUUAAAGAGAGAAAGGGAGAGCACCCAACUACCUAACUAUAUGGCACUCAGCUAGUAAACUGGUGUUAUUGCGGACCAAGGGCCACAACACAUCCACAAUCAUCACAAAGAAGCAAAUCAAUCUUCACACAAAGACAAACAACACAAGCACACAUCAACAGGCACCUCGUUGCUACACGUUAAUGUUAACUAGAUGGUGGUCUUUCCUUACAAAGGGAAAACUACUCUAAGGCCAUCGAAAGGCAAGGGGAAUACUAAGACAUGCAGGAUAGGGGCAUGAGCAUAAUAAAGGAUGGAGCAAGGAUUGUAUCCGACAGGGAGAGAAUGCAACCAAGGUCAGGAUAGGUAAAACACCAUUCUCGAGUUGAGAUGGAAACGAUGAUAUUUCAAAAGGUAGGAAUGAUAUAAGCAUCAUGGAAAGAAUCUAGAUAUUAGGAAGGUGAGGGUGAUAUCGAGCAAAAGCUAAGACAUGCAACGCGAUAGAGGAAAAGGGAACGAACAAGAGCGGGAUGGGUAAGACAUCACUCUUGAAAUGAAAUGGGAGAGAUGGCUUUAAAAUGCAGGUAUAGGAUAAGCAUCAAGGUAAAGAUCGAGGGAUGACAAAGGUUAAGGUGAUAACAGACAAACACACAAUAAAGGAUGUAUUUUGAACAGGACUUGCAAGGUGUCAAAGAAGGGGAGCAGUCAACGAUGAAAUAGGUGAGGCAUUAUCCCUGAACAGGGAUGGAAAAGAGGAGGCUUCAAAGGGUAGGUUCAAUGUAAGCAGAAGGCAAGGGAAUAGAUAUCACGAGGGUCUAAAGGUGAUAACAGACAAGGAUGUAGGAGAGAGGUAAAUGGGUAUAAGAACGAAGGAUAUAAAUACUACAAAGGGUGGAGUUAAGACAGAACGUGCAAGUGAAAAAAAGAGGGCACGUCCAAGGGCUAGAUAGGUAAACUGCCACUCUCAAUUUGAGGUGGAAGAGGGGAGAUUUUUUUUAGUAUGAAUAAAGAUGAGUAUCAAGGCAAGAUCGAUGGAUGACAAGGUGAUGGUGAUAGCAAAUAAAAACACAGCAAAUGAUGGAAUUAAGACAACACUUGUAAGGUGUUAAGGAGCAAAAAAGAAAUCAAGGGAGAGAUAGGUAACUCACAGCUCUCAAACUUGGUCGAAAGAAAGGGGAGGCUUUUAAAGGAUAAGUUCAAGGUAAGCGUUUAAGUAGAAGACAUAAAUAUCGCAAGGGUCAAAGGCGAUAACAGACAAGGGUACGAGAGAAAAGAUGAAGGUAUUAGAGAGCCAGUGGUAUGAGUACAACAAACAAAGGAGGUCACAUCCAGGCUUUCACGCGAUAAGAAGAGGAUAUUGCCAAGGGUAGGAUAAGUAAAACACCGCUCUCAAAUUGGGAUAGGAGGUUGGAGAUUUUAGAGAAUGAACAAAGUGUAAUCACCAAGGUAAGAUCUAGAGAUGAGAAAGGUAAAGAUAAUACCCAACCGAAGCACAACAAAGGAUGGAGUUAAAAACUCGCAAGCGACAAGGAAGAGGAUACAACCAAUGGAAAAUGGGUAAAAUACAACUAUAAAAUUGAGAUGGAAGAGAGAACAUUUUAAAGGACAGGUAUAACAUAAGCAUCAAGUAAGAUAUAGAGGUGACAAGGGUAAAGAUGAUAAUGAUGAAAAGCAUAAUCCGUGGACAGAGUUAAGGCAAGAUUCACAAAGUGACUAAGUGGAGAAAACAAUCAAGGAUAAGAUAAGUGAGGUUCCAACAUAAGAGUUGAAGUAAAAAUUCAUUACUGAAGGAAGUUACAAGGAAACAACGAGAUUAUCACGGUUGUGCAAAAUAAAAUGAUCGCUCAUGGAUCAUUAAGAAAUAGGGGUGGUCAAGGACAUGUUAACUGAAAUGUCUAAGUAGGCAGUAGAAAUUUAGAGGCAAGUAUUUGAAACAAGAGUAUUAAAGGGAUACAAGCAUGUCAAUACCAAAGAACUAGAGUUCGCCAGAUGGUAACAACUUAAUGACGAAAGAGGAAAGAAUCCCAAAAAGACAAGAAGGUUAUGGUCAGGGGGCAUCUACAAAGAUGUCGCAAGCACAACAGUGAGAUCAGAUCUAAUAGAUUGAGAGAAGUAUAGACCAUACUAGAGUAAAAUACUUUUGGCAAGGGGCAUAUAGGAACACAACAUAGAAUUAGUCGAGGCGACUAAUAUUUUGAAGCGGAAUCAAGGAUGAGGUGAAGUAAUAAUCAAUAAGUCCUUAAAACGGCCAUUGCUACUCUAGGUCAGCGGUCCUACAGUCAGCAAGGCUUUGAUACCACUUAUGUCACACUCGGUUUUAGAAGGUAAACCAAAUGUGAACCAUGUACGUGCCAGGAUCAGAAAUUCACGUACACAGCGAUUACAUAAAUGACCCAUCAUAGCACAAUGCUUCAAAUUACAAUAAAGAGUAAGUAAUAAUAUUACAGACUAGAGUCAUUUACAUAAUAUAAAUCAAAGUACGCAGAAUCGAAACGUAGCCAACGUAAACAACCCACCACAGGCAGCUGACUGGGGGAGGUCGCUAGCCUAAUCCUCGAACUCAUCAACGUCCUGGAACUCCUGGAGAUCCACCUCGACGCCUUCUUCUUUACCUGAGCAUAGAUUGCACCAAAGGCAACCU
rnacentral:lncRNA from 1 species